rnacentral:lncRNA from 1 species
UUCCAUAACAAUAAUUCUACACUGACCGAUUUUUAGUGAAAUUUUAGUGACCGACUGAUGUGGCACAGUCACAUUAGUAUGGGAGAGAAAGUGAAAUAAAAAAAAAGAAGGGUCAAUAUACAGCAAUUUCACCAAAGUCAGAUUUCACCUCUCUCUCCCUUUACCAAUAUCAGACUUUACCUCUCUCUCUCUGUAACCAAUAUCACACUCUCUCUCCUUUUCUCACCAAAGUCGCCAUCUACAAAAAUACAGGGCCCAAAAUCGAAAGCAAAAUCCCGCAAAAUCAGCACCAAGAGAGGUAUUCAUACACAUAUUGUAUAUAUGAUGUACAUAUAUAUGUAUAUAUUUAUGCCCUAAAACUGAUUUCAAGAUUUUGAAACCCAUUUUUUUGAUGAUACUCUUCUUCUCCCUGUUUGCUUCACAAAACCCAUUUAAUCUUUCUCUUAUGCUAAGCUCAGAUUCUCAUAUUUCUCAUGAUGUAACUUUAUAUUGUGAAUGUCGUUCAUUUGGGUGCCAACUAAAUGUGGUAUUAAAAAUAGAAAAACUUUGGUAAUGAAUGAAUAGAAAUCAACUAAAUGUGAUUAAGCUGUAUAUUGUAAGCCUGCUGCUGGCCUGCUGCUUGCCUACUGCGGUGCUGCCCCUCUGGUGAUAAAUUUGUUGGCUAGAAUCAUGCAUAAACAUCUAUAGUAUUCUGGAAUUUAAGUUGUGCACUUGUGGUGUUUGAUAAAUUGUCUCAAAGAUGUUCAAGUGUUUUAAAACUAAUUAUUACUCAAUAUUUGGAGUAUGUUCAAGAUGUUCAAGUGUUUCAAGAGUUUUAAAACUAAUUAUUACUCAAUUGUCUCAAAUUGUGGUUUUACUGAUCUUGACAGAGAUAAUUUGGUCCAAGUUUUGUGCAUGUAAAUAUGACUGUUUAGGUCUCAAAUUGUGAUAGCAAAACUGGUUGCAAUGCUAAGAUUAUGAUUUCUUUAGUUGAUUAUUGCAAGCUAUUGAAAAGAGAUUAACAUUCUUUUAGAAAUUUGAGGUUGCUGUUAUACUCCUUCAGAAUCAAAUUUAUCCAUGUUACGCUGAACACGUAGUUUUCGAUUCACUGAGUUUGUAUAAGGUAUAGAUAUGUGUAUCCACUUGCUUGCAACAGAAAAGGGCAAUAUAUGAGCUAUCGUGUCUACCUGUAACAAUUAACCUUUGGCUAUAUCUUGACUCUCUGUUCUUGUGAUGUGGUGAUGGUGCAAUGCAUCCUUAUAAAUUCCAUUUCUAUAUAAUUAAAUCUAGUGCUUUUGAAUGCUAUAUGUCACAUCCGACACUAACUUGGUUGAUUUGUCCUUCAGGAUGAUAUACUUUUAAAGCUGAUGACAUCCCCUGGCUCUUAUGAGGAUCUCUUCGAAAGAUGAUGUUGCUUAUGCUUGUAAUUUAUUCAUACAAUUAUUAUACAAGUUUGAGCUAAAGUUCCUUCUAGUCUGUACACCAAGUGUUAAAGCUCCGUCUUGGAUACAAUAUGUUUACCGUAAGAAACUAAGAGUACACAUCUUUGGGAAAUAAUUUUUGUUUAAACUAGUUCCUUUUGUUUUAGCAGAUUAUGAUCUUUUAUGUAACAGAUAACAAGGUUUUGAAAUUAAGGCAGCUAAGCUGGAUGGAUUGAUGCAACACCCAGCUCGAUAAAAUUUAAGAUAAAAACUAAG